UGAUGACGAGGUUCUACGGAACCGAAGUGACCGAUGCCAUGCUUCCGGGAAAAGCCUCUAAGCUUCAGGUGACAGUGGACCGUACCCGAAACCGACACAGGUGGGUAGGUAGAGUAUACUAAGGGGCGCGAGAUAACUCUCUCUAAGGAACUCGGCAAAAUGACUCCGUAACUUCGGGAGAAGGAGUGCCUUAUUUAUAAGGUAGCAAUAACAAGAUCCAAGCAACUGUUUAUCAAAAACACAGGUCUCCGCUAAGUCGUAAGACGAUGUAUGGGGGCUGACGCCUGCCCAGUGCCAGAAGGUUAAAGAAGUUGGUUAGUGUAUGCGAAGCUGAUGACUGAAGCCCUGGUGAACGGCGGCCGUAACUAUAACGGUCCUAAGGUAGCGAAAUUCCUUGUCGGGUAAGUUCCGACCCGCACGAAAGGCGAAAUGAUUUGGAUACUGUCUCGGAGAGAGGCUCGGUGAAAUAGACUUGUCUGUGAAGAUGCGGACUACCUGCACCAGGACAGAAAGACCCUAUGAAGCUUUACUGUAACUUGAAAUUGGAAUUGGACUUUGCUUGCGCAGUAUAGGUGGGAAGCGUUGAAGAUAUUCUUGCGGGAGUAUUGGAGCUAUCAGUGAGAUACCACUCUUGUAAUGUUAGAUUUCUAACUUUGAACCAUAAUCUGGUCAAAGAACAGUUUCAGGUGGGCAGUUUGACUGGGGCGGUCGCCUCCCAAAUGGUAACGGAGGCGUACAAAGGUUUCCUCUGAACGGAUAGAAAUCGUAUCUAGAGUGUAAAGGCAUAAGGAAGCUUGACUGUGAGACCUACAAGUCGAGCAGGGACGAAAGUCGGUCUUAGUGAUCUGACGGUACUGAGUGGAAAGGCCGUCACUCAACGGAUAAAAGUUACUCUAGGAUAACAGGCUGAUCUCCCCCAAGAGUUCACAUCGACGGGGAGGUUUGGCACCUCGAUGUCGGCUCAUCGCAUCCUGGGGCGGUAGUACGUCCCAAGGGUUGGGCUGUUCGCCCAUGAAAGCGGUACGCGAGCUGGGUUCAGAGCGUCGUGAGACAGUUCGGUCCAUAUCCGGUGUAGGCGUUAGAAUAUUGAGAGGAGCCUUCUUUAGUACGAGAGGACCGAGAAGGACACACCGCUGGUGUACCAGUUAUCGUGCCAACGGUAAACGCUGGGUAGCUAUGUGUGGAGUGGAUAACCGCUGAAAGCAUCUAAGUGGGAGGCCCACCUCAAGAUGAG
rnacentral:rRNA from 1 species